UCUGCCUCCCUGACCUGUUCUUCCUCUCAGCCAUCCCUUCCUCCCACCCCAAGCCGCACCCCCAUCUACCUACUAACCUCAUCCCACCUCCUUGACCUGUCCGUCUUCCCUGGACUGACCUUUUCUCUCCUCUCCACCUUCGGUCCGCCUCCCCCUCUCUCCCUAUUUAUUCCAGUUCCCUCUCCCCGUCCCCCUCUCUCCCUAUUUAUUCCAGUUCCCUCUCCCCGUCCCCCUCUCUGAUGAAGGGUCUAGGCCCGAAACGUCAGCUUUUGUGCUCCUGAGAUGCUGCUCGGCCUGCUGUGCUCAUCCAGCCUCACAUUUUAUUAUUUUAGGAGAGAGAGCUGUUUUGGUUUGUGAUACAAGAGACGAGGCUGUCUAUGCCUUUCACCCAUCGGUAGCUCUCCUCCUGUCCCUGCCUCUAUGCACACACUCUGCCAGGCAUAGUCUUCCUCCCUCUGUGUGUGUGUGUCUCUCUCUCUCGCUUCAGCUCCUAAAACCUAAGAUGCAUCGGAUAUAAAAACACGCACAUAAACACACACACACACACACACACACACAUCAACAAGCCAUGGGGAAAGAUCAGGAAUUACUGCAAGCUGUCAAAACCGAAGAUGUAGCUGCAAUGCAGAAGCUGUUGCAAAGGCCGAAACAAGGCAAAGCGAGACACAAUCAUCGCCUUGGAAGCUUCAUCACGAUACUACUUUGCAUUUCUGAAGAGGGAAGAAGAAUCAAUGUGCAAAUUCAAUUCCAUGGUUUUGGAAGUCCCAUUGAGAACACGAUUCAUUUGCGCCGGCAUAAUGCUCUGACCGAGAAAGAAUUGAAGUUUCCACUUGGAAGAAAGAUUCACAUCAAAUUGACUGGUCAAGGAAAUGGGACACUGACUAACCAUACGAUUAGACUGUUUUGAUGAGAAAUUUAAAGAUUACGUGUCCCAUCCGUUUGACUCACAGUUUGGUACCAUAGGUUGGUACGAUCUUCGUUGGAGAAGGAAAAGGGAUGUUCCAGAUACAGAAAACCGUCAAACCAUUUACAACAAAGUCCAUUUCUGAACCAUACGAUGAGACUGUUUUGAUGAGGAAUUGAAAGAUUAUGUGUCCCAUCCAUUUGACUCACAGUUUGGUACCAUAGGUUGGUACGAUCUUCGUUGGAGAAGGAAAAGGGAUGUUCCAGAUACAGAAAAUCGUCAAACCAUUUACGACAAAGUCCGUUUCUGGUCCUUAUGGGAACAGGAAAAAUGACAAGCUGGAAAAUUUUGCAAGUAAUCUUUGGGCCAGCCUGGAAUCUUCCCAUCCUCUGGCCAUGACCUUGUGACCCUGCUUGGAGGUUGUAGUUACAGUUUCAGAAGUGAUCAAUUCCAGUGAGGAUGUCUGUACUAAGGUGAAAGCUCACGCACAGUUCUUCACGACGGGAAAAAUGGCUCCAUUCAGACUCUGGAGAUUCAGGUAUCCCACUGAGAAUCGUUGUCUCCUUCAUCAUUCACCUUAUUCCAGUCACCUGUCCUGCUCUGUGUGAUUUCUGUUCAUUCUCUCAGUCAUGCUUGUCUGAGGGGAUAGCCACGACUGUAGCCCUGUUGUUGACUUGUGCAGUAUCCUCACAGUCAGGGAAUGCUUCCCCAUUCCUGAGAGAUUUCAGCUGGCUUAAACAGCUCUGAAAACCACUAAACACUUUUACAAGAGUCAGCGGAAAUCCACUUGCAUCUAACCUGUAAGUCGUUGGUGAUAUCUCUAUCCUCACUGCACUGGAUGAAGAGAGGAUUGUAACUGGAAUACUGAGGUCAAAACAUAUACCAUUAGCAUCCAAGCAGCAUUACGCAUACUUCCAUCAGAAUGUGAAUCAGAUGACAGGGAUUAUACCUAGCACUUGGAGAACUGACAGAAACCCCAGGUUACCGUGUCAGGAAAGUUCCAGUGAAUGAAGUGCCAACCGAGCACUUACCAUUCGGGGGCAGUCUGUGGCUAAAACCCCACUCACUGAGAGAUGCUGGCCAAACAGAGACUAGUGUCUCGCCAUUGCAGGUGGUGCCACCAGGAAGGGUGGCUGAUGCUGGUACUGCAAUUAAUCCAAUGCUAUUAGUGAGUCAUGAACAAAUUGGGGUCGUGGGAGAGGUUUUCUGGCCAGGGAAUCAGGAGGUUGUAAGAAAAGGUAGUCAGGUGCUAUCUGUUUGCCAUCGCUACUAAUAUGGCAUGGCGGAUCAAUGGUUAGCACUGCUGCCUCACAGCUCCAGGGACCCAGGUUCAAUUCCAACCUCAGGUGACUGUCUGUGUGGAGUUUGCACAUUCUGUAUAUGUCUGCAUGGGUUUCCUCUGGGUGCUCCAGUUUCCUCCCACAGUCCAAAGAUGUGCAGGUUAGAUGGCUUGGCCAUGCUAAGUUGCUAAGAGUGUCCAGGUAUGUGUGGGUUAGGUGGGUUAUAGUGGAAGUUCCUACUGCAGUUCCUACUAUCUCUGAAGCAUUUUAUUCCUAUCUGCUUUCUCCUGAGCACUCA